rnacentral:rRNA from 1 species
CCCUUAGAUGUUCGGGGCCGCACGCGCGCUACACUGAAUGGAUCAACGUGCCUUUCCCGAGGCCGAAAAGUCGAGGUAAUCCGUUGAACCCCAUUCGUGACGGGGAUAGGAGCUUGCAAUUAUUCUCCUUGAACGAGGAAUUCCCAGUAAGCGCGAGUCAUCAGCUCGCGUUGAUUACGUCCCUGCCCUUUGUACACACCGCCCGUCGCUCCUACCGAUCGAAGAGUUAGGUGAAUUGUUUUGAUCGAUAAGAUUUGACUAUGGUCAACUCUCGUUGUGAAAUUCUGUGAAUCUGACUGUUUAGAGGAAGGAAAAGUCGUAACA